AGCGAACGCUGGCGGCAGGCCUAACACAUGCCAGUCGAACGAACCUUUCGGGGUUAGUGGCGGACGGGUGAGUAACACGUGGGAACGUGCCUUUAGGUUCGGAAUAACUCAGGGAAACUUGUGCUAAUACCGAAUGUGCCCUUCGGGGGAAAGAUUUAUCGCCUUUAGAGCGGCCCGCGUCUGAUUAGCUAGUUGGUUGAGGUAAUGGCUCACCAAGGCGACGAUCAGUAGCUGGUCUGAGAGGAUGAUCAGCCACAUUGGGACUGAGACACGGCCCAAACUCCGACGGAGGGAGGGAGGGGGGAUUCUGGCGAAAGGGGCAAAAGCCGGACGCAGCCAGGCGGGGGAAAUGAGAAGGGUCUAGGGAUUGAAAAAUUCUUCCACGGGGGAGGAAAAUGACGGUACCGGGAGAAGAAGCCCCGGCUAACUUCGG
rnacentral:rRNA from 1 species